rnacentral:rRNA from 1 species
GUAUGGGAGUGAGAAUGUUGGCAUGAGUAGCGAGAUGUGGGUGAGAAUCCCACAGGCCGUAAACCCAAGGUUUCCAGGGGAAGGUUCGUCCGCCCUGGGUUAGUCGGGACCUAAGCUGAGGCCGAAAGGCGUAGGUGAUGGACAACAGGUUGAUAUUCCUGUACUACCGAUAACCGUUUGAGAGAAGGGAUGACACAGUAGGAUAAGCUAAGCACACUGUUGGUUAUGUGUGCCCAAGCAUUGAGGCAGUCAAAGUAGGCAAAUCCGCUUUGAUAAUGCUGGGAUGUGAUGGGGAGCGAAAUUUAGUAGCGAAGUAGCUGAUUUCACACUGUCAAGAAAAGUCUCUAUCGAGGUUAAAGGUACCCGUACCGCAAACCGACACAGGUGGGUGAGGAGAGUAUCCUAAGGCCAGCGAGAGAACUGUUGUUAAGGAACUCGGCAAAAUGACCCCGUAACUUAGGGAUAAGGGGUGCCACCAUCAGGUGGCCGCAGAGAAUAGGCCCAAGCGACUGUUUACCAAAAACAUAGGUUUCUGCUAAGUCGCAAGACGAUGUAUAGGAGCUGACGCCUGCCCGGUGCUGGAAGGUUAAGGGGAUCUGUUAGAGCAAUCGAAGCAGUGAACUUAAGCCCCAGUAAACGGCGGCCGUAACUAUAACGGUCCUAAGGUAGCGAAAUUCCUUGUCGGGUAAGUUCCGACCCGCACGAAAGGCGUAACGAUUUGGGCACUGUCUCAACAACAGACUCGGUGAAAUUGUAAUUCCGGUGAAGAUGCCGGAUACCUGCGACAGGACGGAAAGACCCCAUGGAGCUUUACUGUAGCUUGACAUUGGGUCUUGGUACUACAUGUACAGGAUAGGUGGGAGGCUUUGAAACCAGGACGCCAGUUUUGGCGGAGCCAUCCUUGGGAUACCACCCUUGUAGUACUGGGACUCUAACCAUAGGCCAUGAAUCUGGUCUUGGGACACUGUCAGGUGGGCAGUUUGACUGGGGCGGUCGCCUCCCAAAAGGUAACGGAGGCGCUCAAAGGUUCUCUCAGUACGGUCGGAAAUCGUACGUAGAGUGUAAAGGCAAAAGAGAGCUUGAUUGCAAGACAUACAGGUCGAGCAAGGAUGAAAAUCGGACUUAGUGAUCCGGUGGUUCUGCGUGGAAGGGCCAUCGCUCAACGGAUAAAAGCUACCCUGGGGAUAACAGGCUUAUCUCCCCCAAGAGUCCACAUCGACGGGGAGGUUUGGCACCUCGAUGUCGGCUCAUCACAUCCUGGGGCUGUAGUAGGUCCCAAGGGUUGGGCUGUUCGCCCAUUAAAGUGGUACGCGAGCUGGGUUCAGAACGUCGUGAGACAGUUCGGUCCCUAUCCGUCGCAGGCGUAGGAAAUUUGAGAAGACCUGUCCUUAGUACGAGAGGACCGGGAUGGACGUACCUCUGGUGUACCAGUUGUCCUGCCAAGGGCAUGGCUGGGUAGCUAUGUACGGAAUGGAUAAGCGCUGAAAGCAUCUAAGCGCGAAGCCAACUUCAAGAUAAGAUUUCCCACCGCAAGGGUAAGACCCCAGAAAGACUAUCUGGUUGA